GUUCACGGCCAUGCCACCGAACAAGCCUGGUACUGUCUGAUCUCGGAAGCUAAGCAGGAUCGGGCUUGGUUAGUAUUUGGAUGGGAGACCACCUAGGAAGACCAGGUGCUGUAGGCA
rnacentral:rRNA from 1 species